GGCGCGAGCGUUGUCCGGAAUUAUUGGGCGUAAAGAGCUCGUAGGCGGCUUGUCGCGUCGGUUGUGAAAGCCCGGGGCUUAACCCCGGGUCUGCAGUCGAUACGGGCAGGCUAGAGUUCGGUAGGGGAGAUCGGAAUUCCUGGUGUAGCGGUGAAAUGCGCAGAUAUCAGGAGGAACACCGGUGGCGAAGGCGGAUCUCUGGGCCGAUACUGACGCUGAGGAGCGAAAGCGUGGGGAGCGAACAGGAUUAGAUACCCUGGUAGUCCACGCCGUAAACGGUGGGCACUAGGUGUGGGCGACAUUCCACGUCGUCCGUGCCGCAGCUAACGCAUUAAGUGCCCCGCCUGGGGAGUACGGCCGCAAGGCUAAAACUCAAAGGAAUUGACGGGGGCCCGCACAAGCGGCGGAGCAUGUGGCUUAAUUCGACGCAACGCGAAGAACCUUACCAA
rnacentral:rRNA from 1 species